rnacentral:rRNA from 1 species
AGUGAACGCUGGCGGUAGGCCUAACACAUGCAAGUCGAACGGCAGCACAGGAGAGCUUGCUCUCUGGGUGGCGAGUGGCGGACGGGUGAGGAAUACAUCGGAAUCUACUCUGUCGUGGGGGAUAACGUAGGGAAACUUACGCUAAUACCGCAUACGACCUACGGGUGAAAGUGGGGGACCGCAAGGCCUCACGCGAUUGAAUGAGCCGAUGUCGGAUUAGCUAGUUGGCGGGUAAAGGCCCACCAAGGCGACGAUCCGUAGCUGGUCUGAGAGGAUGAUCAGCCACACUGGAACUGAGACACGGUCCAGACUCCUACGGGAGGCAGCAGUGGGGAAUAUUGGACAAUGGGCACAAGCCUGAUCCAGCCAUACCGCGUGAGUGAAGAAGGCCCUCGGGUUGUAAAGCUCUUUGUUGGGAAAGAAAUCCUGUUGGCUAAUACCCGGCGGGGAUGACGGUACCCAAAGAAUAAGCACCGGCUAAACUUCGUGCCAGCAGCCGC